GUGGCGAACGGGUGAGUAACACGUGGGCAAUCUGCCCUGCACUCUGGGACAAGCCCUGGAAACGGGGUCUAAUACCGGAUACUGACCCUCGCAGGCAUCUGCGAGGUUCGAAAGCUCCGGCGGUGCAGGAUGAGCCCGCGGCCUAUCAGCUAGUUGGUGAGGUAAUGGCUCACCAAGGCGACGACGGGUAGCCGGCCUGAGAGGGCGACCGGCCACACUGGGACUGAGACACGGCCCAGACUCCUACGGGAGGCAGCAGUGGGGAAUAUUGCACAAUGGGCGAAAGCCUGAUGCAGCGACGCCGCGUGAGGGAUGACGGCCUUCGGGUUGUAAACCUCUUUCAGCAGGGAAGAAGCGAAAGUGACGGUACCUGCAGAAGAAGCGCCGGCUAACUACGUGCCAGCAGCCGCGGUAAUACGUAGGGCGCAAGCGUUGUCCGGAAUUAUUGGGCGUAAAGAGCUCGUAGGCGGCUUGUCACGUCGGUUGUGAAAGCCCGGGGCUUAACCCCGGGUCUGCAGUCGAUACGGGCAGGCUAGAGUUC
rnacentral:rRNA from 1 species